rnacentral:lncRNA from 1 species
CCAAUGUCCUGAGAUCCAUUAUUCAAGAUUGGUGUAUCCACCACAGGAAAAUCCCUGAUACCCAAUUUGGAUUUUAUCCAGGAAGAAGUACUCUUCAACCAAUCUUCAUCCUACGACACCUGAAAAACGCAGCACAAAAGACUCGGAGUAAUACCUCCAGAUUGUUUACAGCAUUUAUUGACUUUCAGCAAGCUUAUGACUCUGUUCCUCAUUGUCGACUACCUCAACAACUCAUUGCUAUUCUCCAGGAUCUGUAUCACAUGGAUGAAUAUACUCUGCUUGAUGGUGACAAAAUGGCUAGUGUUCAGCCAGUGUGUGGGGUUAAACAAGGAUGUCCUCUAUCACCUCUUCUUUUNUGGAAGGAAGCUAAACUCACCCCAAUCCAUAAAAAGGGCCCCGUUGUUUCUCCAACUAAUUAUAGGAUGAUAGCUGUGAGCGCUCCUAUCUAUCGGCUGUAMACCAAUGUCCUGAGAUCCAUUAUUCAAGAUUGGUGUAUCCACCACAGGAAAAUCCCUGAUACCCAAUUUGGAUUUUAUCCAGGAAGAAGUACUCUUUAACCAAUCUUCAUCCUAUGACACCUGAAAAACGCAGCACAAAAGACUCGGAGUAAUACCUCCCGAUUGUUUACAGCAUUUAUUGACUUUCAGCAAGCUUAUGACUCUGUUCCUCGGGAAAAGCUGUGGAAAUAUCUUUAUCGUUGUCGACUACCUCAACAACUCAUUGCUAUUCUCCAGGAUCUGUAUCACAUGGAUGAAUAUACUCUGCUUGAUGGUGACAAAAUGGCUAGUGUUCAGCCAGUGUGUGGGGUUAAACAAGGAUGUCCUCUAUCACCUCUUCUUUUCGCAACUUAUCUCAACGAUAUUGAUACUGUUGCAGAGGGUGUACAAGGUGCUCUGACAGCCAUCCCAAAUUUAACAGUGACACAUUUACUUUUUGCUGAUGAUCUGGCUUUUACAGCAAACAGGCAACCAAGUUUACAAAAACUUCUGAACAACUU